rnacentral:rRNA from 1 species
AGCAGCCGCGGUAUUCCAGCUCCAAUAGCGUAUAUUAAAGUUGUUGCAGUUAAAAAGCUCGUAGUUGAAUUUCGGGAUCAAUACGUCGGUCGUGCUUUCGGGUACGUACUGGCGUCAUUGGUUUCUCCUUUCUGACGAACCAUGAUGUCAUUAAUUUGGUGUUAUGGGGAGUUAGGACUGUUACUUUGAAAAAAUUAGAGUGUUUAAAGCAGGCAUUAGCUUGAAUACAUUAGCAUGGAAUAAUGAAAUAGGACGUUCGAUCCUAUUUUGUUGGUUUCUAGGAUCAACGUAAUGAUUAAUAGGGAUAGUUGGGGGCAUUAGUAUUCAAUUGUCAGAGGUGAAAUUCUUGGAUUUAUUGAAGACUAACUACUGCGAAAGCAUUUGCCAAGGAUGUUUUCAUUAAUCAAGAACGAAAGUUAGGGGAUCGAAGACGAUCAGAUACCGUCGUAGUCUUAACCAUAAACUAUGCCGACUAGGGAUCGGAUGAUGUUAAUUUUUUAAUGACUCA